rnacentral:rRNA from 1 species
UACGUAGGGGGCAAGCGUUGUCCGGAAUCAUUGGGCGUAAAGCGCGUGUAGGCGGCUUGGUAAGUCCGCUCUGAAAGCCCGGGGCUCAACCCCGGGAGGCGGGUGGAUACUGCUGGGCUCGAGUCCGGAAGAGGAGUGUGGAAUCCUGGUGUAGCGGUGAAAUGCGCAGAUAUCAGGAGGAACACCAAUGGCGAAGGCAG